CGUAGGGUGCGAGCGUUAAUCGGAAUUACUGGGCGUAAAGCGUGCGCAGGCGGCGCGUUAAGACAGGUGUGAAAGCCCCGAGCUUAACUUGGGAAUUGCGCUUGUGACUGGCGUGCCGGAGUGUGGCAGAGGGAGGUGGAAUUCCACGUGUAGCAGUGAAAUGCGUAGAGAUGUGGAGGAACACCGAUGGCGAAGGCAGCCUCCUGGGCCAGCACUGACGCUCAUGCACGAAAGCGUGGGGAGCAAACAGGAUUAGAUACCCUGGUAGUCCACGCCCUAAACGAUGUCAACUGGUUGUUGGUGGGGUUAAACCCAUUAGUAACGAAGCUAACGCGUGAAGUUGACCGCCUGGGGAGUACGGCCGCAAGGUUA
rnacentral:rRNA from 1 species